CACAAAUGGACUUUGGGAGCCCAUUCCCCCUAGAGGGAUACUCUCUCUCAGCCUAGGGGAGGGGCUAGACCCUGCUCCAAAUGAUGUGACAGUCUUUAAUGAUCCCCCAUGGAAGGCCUCACCCUCCCUGGGGAGUGAAUGGGGAUAGAAUGGGGGUUUGUGGGGGGCACAGGAGCAUAGGAGAGAUAGAGAACUGGGAUUGAUAUGUAAAAUAAGAUUGUUUCUAAAUUAAAUAAAAAUAUAAUAACAAUAAAAAAGAAAAGCCCCCCCCCCAAAAAAAAUAAUACCUCUGACUUUUUCCAAAUUUAAUGAGCAGGUAGUUGGUUAAGACACAUCAGAGGACUAUGACUUGGGACUCUAAUUAAUAACUGUCUCCACCUUAAGUGAAUUCUCUGAGCUGUUAAGAGAGUUAUGCUGCCUGGUUAAUGUGUGAAAAUCUUGUCUUGGAUUUAGUUGUCCAUUUCAUCUACUCCAUAUCUGAUCCAUAAGAAAAUAGGGUUUUUCACUGAACCUUUCAGGAUAUAUGAUAAUGGGAGGAAUAUUGGCUCAACAUUUAUGAUUCUUUUGUACUUCUAGUUUCAGCUAUGACUAGCUGUAGUUGUGUAAUAUCAUAUAAUAGUUUGUGCCCCUUGGAAGCAUACAAAUCUGGUUUGAAUCCUGUAUUUGUCAUCUAUGGUCUUAGAUAUGUUCUCUCUGCUGGUCUUCUAGAAUAUAAAAUAAAGUAAUAUCCUCCACAUAUUAUGUUUACAAAGUGUGAAUCAUUGCACAUUUUUAUCUAAUUAAAUGAGGUAUAUCAUUUGUCUAACCCCAGGACAUUGAUCAUUAUUCUGCUAUCUCGGUUAUAAACAGUAGGCUAGCAGGGCGAUCAGAAGGCCUGGUUUGCACUGAGCUAUUUCAAGAAGCCAGUGAUUGAGUCUCUGAAAUAGAGUUCUAUAGGAAACAACCUGCUUAGAGGAACUGCUUCUAUUUCAAAAAAAGUAGUAUGAUUCAACAAACAAGCUUCAGUACUUGGGAUGACAGGGCCUGUUGUUUUAUUCAUGAAGUGAAAACAUUAAUUAGAACUUAAUUAUAAUGCCUGGGAGUCAUUUAAAAUAAAGAUCCAGGCAAUGAUGUGAAAUAUUUUUAGUAUUUUAGUAUUUCAAUAUUUAAAAUAUAAUAUGACAAAAUGUUCAACGGGGAAAAUGAUAGGUGUGCCAAAGAGGAAAGUGAAACAUAUCUGUGACCUGGAUAGCUGGUAUUGGGAAGAGCUCCUUUUGUGGGUAUUUUAGACUUUAAGUUUUUGAGAAUUAAUAUAUAGGGUUUAUUUGAGUUUAGAGGCAUGUAACAGACAGCAUAUACAAUGAAGCAUUUUUUGCAUCAUAGGAGACGUAAGGUGGAAGUUAGAAAAUAGCAACAGAUGCUAAUGAAGGGUAAUAGGAGACAGUGAUAUGAUCAGGUUCCUACUUCCAGUAAUUCAUCAGAGCAGUGGUGUCAGUUGAACUAUGGAACUGACAGUAAGAAACAGAAAGGGAAUCUUUGCAAACUACAAUAAUUAGUAAAUCUGUUGACGUUGGACAAGGGCAGAAGUUAGUAUAUAGCAACAGUCAUGUGCCAGAGACUGAUCUGAUGACCAGGUGGGUUGGUGCAGUUAUUCCUUGAUCUAGGAAUUGAGAAUAUAUAUUAGGUGUUUAGAAAGAAUAGAGACUCCAACCAAGGAGUUCUGAAUUGGGACUCAGGCUCUCUAGCUUCUAACUCUGGCUGAAUCCAACUCAUUCUUCCUCUUCAUGUUUAAUAUACCCACUUCUAUCAUAGGUACAAUGUCCCCAAGGGAACUGUACAUACAUGCAUCAUGGUCUCAGAAUUGUAUAGUCUGAUUCAAAUGACCAACAUCAAAUCCAAGAAUCUGUGCUUUCAAAAAUUUCUAGAAUGGCCAACAAGCUUGGAGACCCAUGGAACACAACAUCUCCGUGGGUUUUAUAUCUAAAAUAUCUCUGAAUGCACUCUCCCAAAACUCUGUCCUUCAUCCUGGUUCUGCAAAUGGGACCUGGCACACAGUAUGUCUUCCAUAGUCACUUCCAGAACGAACUAGUAUCCACAGUAUAUCUCCACUGUUCUUUGCUUCCCUCUUCACUCACCACACAGGUUAGGUUGGCAGAAGAAGCCAAGAUAGCUGCCCUGUAUAAAGUGGGCUUUGGAGGUGACUCUCUGCUGUGCCUCCUAUACUCCCAAGAAUAUGUGGCUGACCUUUCUCCAAAAUAUCCUGUAAUAAAUUUGUAACAGCUUAUGGAGAUGGAGGGUUGCUUUAUAUUUCAAUGUGGUAGUCUAUCAUGAAUAAAAUGUGGCAUUCUUAAACUCAAAAUUUUAGUAGACAGAAGCAACCCAAGAACUGAGCUUUGUUUUCUUUUUCCUUCCCAGCUCUGCUGGGAGGACACGUUACAUACUCUGUCUCUUGGUGUUUCCACAGAUCCCACUUCCUGAUUCAGAUGAGCUCAACAGACCCUGCAUGUAGACACAUGCAGAGAAAUCAUCCAAUAUGUCUGCAAAACACAUCAGUGCUUGGCCGUCAACACUGAGGCAUUAGAAUGCAAGAUCUGGUUAAGAAAAAAGGAAAAUAAACACUGUCAACGAAAUUCAGUGGGCAGAAGAAAGGUCAGAACUUUGGUAAUCCAAAGCCGGAGCCUAUGUCUGAAAAUGGAAGGAACUGAAGGUCAUCAUGGU
rnacentral:lncRNA from 1 species